GAAUUGACGGGGGCCCGCACAAGCAGUGGAGUAUGUGGUUUAAUUCGAAGCAACGCGUAGAACCUUACCAGGGCUUGACAUGUAGCGAAGCCUGUAGAAAUACGGGUGUGCCUCCCUAUGGGAGGAACGCUAACACAGGUGGUGCAUGGUUGUCGUCAGCUCGUGUCGUGAGAUGUUGGGUUAAGUCCCGCAACGAGCGCAACCCCUAUCGUAUGUUGCCAGCGUAAAGACGGGCACUCAUGCGAGACUGCCGGUGACAAACCGGAGGAAGGUGGGGAUGACGUCAAAUCAUCAUGCCCCUUAUGUCCUGGGCUACACACGUGCUACAAUGGCCGUCACAAAGCGAACCGAACCCGCGAGGGGGAGGCAAACGCGAAAGGCGGUCGUAGUUCAGAUCGCAGGCUGCAACUCGCCUGCGUGAAGCCGGAGUUGCUAGUAAUCGCGGAUCAGCACGCCGCGGUGAAUACGUUCCCGGGCCUUGUACACACCG
rnacentral:rRNA from 1 species